GAUGAACGCUAGCGGGAGGCUUAACACAUGCAAGUCGAGGGGCAGCAUAGGGUAGCAAUACUCUGAUGGCGACCGGCAAACGGGUGAGUAACGCGUAUGCAACCUACCCUGUACAGGGGGAUAACCCGGAGAAAUUCGGACUAAUAUCCCGUAAUAAUAUCCGGAGGCAUCUUUGGAUAUUUAAAGUUCCGACGGUACGGGAUGGGCAUGCGUAACAUUAGCUGGUUGGUAAGGUAACGGCUUACCAAGGCUAUGAUGUUUAGGGGUCCUGAGAGGGUGGUCCCCCACACUGGUACUGAGACACGGACCAGACUCCUACGGGAGGCAGCAGUGAGGAAUAUUGGUCAAUGGGCGCAAGCCUGAACCAGCCAUCCCGCGUGCAGGAAGACGGCCCUAUGGGUUGUAAACUGCUUUUCCAGGGAGAGAACUUACGCACGUGUUGCGUGACUGACGGUACCCUGGGAAUAAGCAUCGGCUAACUCCGUGCCAGCAGCCGCGGUAAACUGUAUCGU
rnacentral:rRNA from 1 species